CAUGAUAUCUCAGGCAAAAAUUAGUCUAAGAUGAGAUAUACUGUCUUUCCAUGCAGGAUGAUAAGAUAUCUUGUCUUAGAUUGUUUAUUGCGCACAUCGGGGGAUCGUGAAGAUUUUAUUGGUGAGUAAGUAUACUCGGAAGGGCAAUGAUGAAUAUUAAAUAAUCGGACAUAGUACGAUAAGGUUGUAUGUCUAAAGGGAAACAGCCCAGAACAAGAGUUAAGGUUCCUAAAUUAAUGUUAAGUGAAAUUAAGGUAGUUUCUAUUAAAUACGACUAGAAAGUAGGCUUAGAAGCGGCCAUUUUUUGAAGACCUCGUAACAGAGCACUGGUUUAGUAAGUAGUUCACUAUUUACAUUGAUAGAAGCACCGAAAAUAUAUCGGAUCUAAACAAUAUACCGACACCUUGUUCAUAUUUAUAAAUAAAAAAAAAAAAAUAAAGCUGAUAAGGCAGGCUGAUCUUCUAUAAAAAUUUUAAGGCGAAAAUCCUUUUUUUCGUCGGCUGCACAGCGCGCAGCUAGCUAGCUAAUAUUAUUAGUUUUUAUUAUAAAUAAAAGGUAGCAAAACGUUAGGUAGAUCUCACGAUUUAAUCUUUUCAAGAUUAAAAAAGAUAGAAUAUCCUAAGUGAUAAUGCUGACAUGAGUAACGAUAAAGGGGCUGCUUUCGAAGAUCAGCACCCUCGCCUAAAGCUUAUGGCUAUAUUAAAGUAACG
rnacentral:rRNA from 1 species